rnacentral:rRNA from 1 species
CACGUAGGGCGCAAGCGUUGUCCGGAAUUACUGGGCGUAAAGAGCUCGUAGGCGGUCUGUCGCGUCGGAUGUGAAAAUCCAGGGCUCAACCCUGGACCUGCAUUCGAUACGGGCAGACUAGAGUUCGGCAGGGGAGACUGGAAUUCCUGGUGUAGCGGUGAAAUGCGCAGAUAUCAGGAGGAACACCGGUGGCGAAGGCGGGUCUCUGGGCCGAUACUGACGCUGAGGAGCGAAAGCGUGGGGAGCGAACAGG